AGCUGAUCAUUGGGCAUAAAGGGUGCGCAGGCGGUUUUGUAAGACAGAGGUGAAAUCCCCGGGCUCAACCUGGGAACUGCCUUUGUGACUGCAAGGCUGGAGUGCGGCAGAGGGGGAUGGAAUUCCGCGUGUAGCAGUGAAAUGCGUAGAUAUGCGGAGGAACACCGAUGGCGAAGGCAAUCCCCUGGGCCUGCACUGACGCUCAUGCACGAAAGCGUGGGGAGCAAACA
rnacentral:rRNA from 1 species